rnacentral:rRNA from 1 species
UACGGGGGGAGCAAGCGUUGUUCGGAUUUACUGGGCGUAAAGGGCGCGUAGGCGGCCACCGCAAGUCAGUUGUGAAAUCUCUGGGCUUAACCCAGAACGGUCAGCUGAUACUGCGGGGCUAGAGUGCAGAAGGGGCAACUGGAAUUCUCGGCGUAGCGGUGAAAUGCGUAGAUAUCGAGAGGAACACCUGCGGCGAAGGCGGGUUGCUGGGCUGACACUGACGCUGACAGCGCGAAAGCUAGGGGAGCGAACGGG